UCUAUGAUUGGCCCUCCGUUUAUUUUGAUUGUUUUAUGCUUAUAAAGUAAGUGAAAACUUUGAGCUAAACAAUUCGGCGUCGUCUGUGGGAAUUUCAUAGAGAAUCACGUAGUUUAUCCUUAGACCGAAAAAGAAAAAUGAACAACCCAGCUCAAACGAGCCCAAGCGACAUAUCGGGUCAUAGGAAGUCAAAAAACUCGAGAUGAGCUAGCUUCAAAACCCCCACGUCUUCGAGCAAAUGGAAGAAGAAGAAGAAGCAAAUCCCCAAUUUCUAUGGGGAAAAUGAGCUCAAGGCACCUCAGCCCUUUUCCUUUCACACGGGAUCUUGUCAAAAGGGAAGACAGAGCGAAAGCAUCUCUCUAACCGUGACCUGUAACGAGGUGACCCGUGCGAGCCAGUCGAAAAGACCACAAGCGCAAGUUAGGCAAGAUCUAAAACUAGAAGAAAAUCCCAACCCCCAACACAGAACGGGUUAUGUGGGAGAAAUCACAAAGGUUCAACUACGGUUGAACUGGGACUCAGGCUGAGUGCCUUCGACUCAGGCUACGCGCCUUCAAACAUUGCAAAAAGUUCAACUAAGGUUGAACAACAAUACAAGCUAUGUGCCUUCAACUCAGGCUAUGCGCCUUCACAAAACAAUCCAACUACGGUUGAACUGGGACUCAGGCUGAGCGCCUUUGACUCAGGCUACAUGCCUUCAGACAUGGCAAAAAGUUCAACUACGGUUGAACAACAAUACAGGUUGUGUGCCUUCAACUCAGGCUAUGUGCCUUCAACUCAGGCUGAACGCCUUCGACGCAGACUACGCGUCUUCAGACAUUGCAAAAAGUUCAACUACGGUUGAACAACAAUACAGGCUAUGCGCCUUCACACAACAGUCCAACUACGGUUGAAUUGGGACUCAGGCUGAGCGCCUUCGACUCAGGCUACGCGCCUUCAGACAUUGCAAAAAGUUCAACUACGGUUGAACAACAAUAUAGGCUAUGUGCCUUCAACUCAGGUUGAGCGCCUUUGAAUCGGGCUACGCGCCUUCAGACAUUGCAAAAAGUUCAACUACGGUUGAACAACAAUACAGGCUAUAUGUUUUCACACAACAGUCCAACUACGAUUGAACAGGGACUCAGGCUGAGCGUCUUCGACUCAGGCUACGUGCCUUCAUACAUUGCAAAAAUUUCAACUACAGUUGAACAACAAUACAGGCUAUGCGCCUUCACACAACAGUCCAACUACGGUUGAACUGGGACUCAGGCUAUGUGCCUUCGACUCGGGCUAUGCGCCUUCGCACAACAGUUCAACUACGGUUGAACAACAAUACAGGCUAUGCGCCUGAUACAGGCUAUGUGCCUCUGACUCAGGCUAUGCGCCUCCACACAACAGUCCAACUACUGUUGAACAGGGACUCAGGCUAUGUGGGCUACGCGCCUUCAAAAAUCACAAAGGAAGUUCAACUACAGUUGAACAACAAUACAGGCUAUGGGCCUUCACACAAAAGUUCCACUAUUAGUUGAACCAGGACUCAAGCCACACACCCCCGUCACAAAAAGCCGCAAGCUCGACCACGAACGAAUCAAGGCCGAG
rnacentral:lncRNA from 1 species